UACAGAGGGUGCGAGCGUUGUCCGGAAUCACUGGGCGUAAAGGGCGCGUAGGUGGCCAUGCAAGUCCCUGGUGAAAGCUCGAUGCUCAACAUCGAGUCGGCCAGAGAUACUGCAGGGCUGGAGCACUGUAGAGGCUCAUGGAAUUCCGGGUGUAGCGGUGGAAUGCGUAGAGAUCCGGAAGAACACCGGUGGCGAAGGCGGUGAGCUGGGCAGUAGCUGACACUGAGGCGCGACAGCGUGGGGAGCGAACAGG
rnacentral:rRNA from 1 species